CACGUAGGGCGCAAGCGUUGUCCGGAAUUAUGGUCGGAAGAAGCUCGUAGGCGGUCUGUUGCGUCCGCUGUGAAAACUCGGGGCUUAACCCCGAGCCUGCAGUGGAUACGGGCAGACUAGAGGUAGGUAGGGGAGAAUGGAAUUCCCGGUGUAGCGGUGAAAUGCGCAGAUAUCGGGAGGAACACCGGUGGCGAAGGCGGUUCUCUGGGCCUUACCUGACGCUGAGAGACGAAAGCUAGGGGAGCGAAUGGG
rnacentral:rRNA from 1 species